rnacentral:rRNA from 1 species
AGCAGUAGCCGCGGUAAUACGUAGGUGGCGAGCGUUGUCCGGAAUCAUUGGGCGUAAAGGGAGCGCAGGCGGGCAUGUAAGUCUUUCUUAAAAGUUCGGGGCUCAACCCCGUGAUGGGAAAGAAACUACAUGUCUUGAGUACAGGAGAGGAAAGCGGAAUUCCCAGUGUAGCGGUGAAAUGCGUAGAUAUUGGGAGGAACACCAGUGGCGAAGGCGGCUUUCUGGACUGCAACUGGCGCUGAGGCUCGAAAGCCAGGGGAGCGAACGGGAUUAGAUACCCCUGUAGUCCCUGUCUCUUAUACC